GACGAACGCUGGCGGCGUGCUUAACACAUGCAAGUCGAACGGAGUGGCGAACGGGUGAGUAACACGUAGGUGAUCUGGCCUGCACUUCGGGAUAAGCUUGGGGAACUGGGUCUAAUACCGGCAAGGGCAAGAGGAGCUCGCGGACUAUCAGCUUGUUGGUGGGGUAAUGGCCUACCAAGGCGUCGACGGGUAGCCGCCCUGAGAGGGGGUACGGCCACAGUGGGACGGGGGUACGGCGCAGACGCCUACGGGAGGCAGCGGUGUGGAAUAUUGCACAAUGGUCGGAAGCCUGAUGCAGCGACGCCGCGUGGGGUAUGAAGGCUUUCGGGUUGUAAACUCCUUUCGACAGGGACGCGGUACCUGUAUAAGAAGCACCGGCUAACUACGUGCCAGCCGCCGCGGUAAUUC
rnacentral:rRNA from 1 species